rnacentral:rRNA from 1 species
GACGAACCGUGCGAACGUUACUCGGAAUCAUUGGGCUUAAAGGGCGCGUAGGCGGCGGUGUAAGUUGGAAGUGAAAUCCCAUCGGCUCAACCGUGGAAUUGCUCCCAGUACUGCACUGCUCGAGGGGGAUAGGGGUCCGCGGAACUACCGGUGGAGCGGUGAAAUGUGUUGAUAUCGGUGGGAACGCCAGUGGCGAAAGCGGCGGACUUGACCCUUCCUGACGCUGAUGCGCGAAAGCUAGGGGAGCAAACGGG